rnacentral:rRNA from 1 species
GAUGAACGCUGGCGGCGUGCCUAAUACAUGCAAGUCGAGCGAACAGACGAGGAGCUUGCUCCCCUGACGUUAGCGGCUGACGGGUGAGUAACACGUGGAUCACCUACCUAUUAGACUGGGAUAACUUCGGGAAACCGGUGCUAAUACCGGAUAAUAUAUUGUACCGCUUGGUUCAGUAGUGCAAGACGGCUUUGCUGUCACUUAUAGACGGAUCCGCGCCGCAUUAGCUAGUUGGUAAGGUAACGGCUUACCAAGGCAACGAUGCGUAGCCGACCUGAGAGGGUGAUCGGCCACACUGGAACUGAGACACGGUCCAGACUCCUACGGGAGGCAGCAGUAGGGAAUCUUCCGCAAUGGGCGAAAGCCUGACGGAGCAACGCCGCGUGGGUGAUGAAGGUCUUCGGAUCGUAAAGCUCUGUUAUUAGGGAAGAACAGAUGUGUAAGUAACUAUGCCCGUCUUGACGGUACCUAAUCAGAAAGCCACGGCUAACUACGUG